rnacentral:rRNA from 1 species
AACGAACGCUGGCGGCAGGCCUAACACAUGCAAGUCGAACGCUGUAGCAAUACAGAGUGGCAGACGGGCGAGUAACGCGUGGGAACCUUCCCAAUGGUGCGGAAUAGCCCAGGGAAACUUGGGGUAAUACCGCAUAAGCCCUUAGGGGGAAAGAUUUAUCGCCAUUGGAUGGGCCCGCGUCGGAUUAGCUAGUUGGUGCGGUAAUGGCUCACUAAGGCAACGAUCCGUAGCUGGUUUGAGAGAAUGACCAGCCACACGUGGACGGAGACACGGCCCAGACUCCUACUGGAGGCAGCAGUGGGGAAUUUUGGACAAUGGGCGCAAGCCUGAUCCAGCCAUGCCGCGUGAGUGACGAAGGCCUUAGGGUUGUAAAGCUCUUUUGCCGGGGACGAUAAUGACGGCACCCGGAGAAUAAGUCCCGGCUAACUUCGUGCCAGCCGCCGCGGUAA